rfam:Gavia stellata contig60315, whole genome shotgun sequence.
UUGAAGGCUCUUUUAAGAGCCACCACAUGGCACAAGAGAGCUGUG